GGUGAGGUGCCCGAGUGGCGGAAGGACCACGCCUGAAAAGUGUGUAUACGGAAACGUAGGGGGGUUUCAACCCCCCCCCUCACCGCCA
rnacentral:tRNA from 1 species